GCUGGAUUAUAACUUGUAAUUUUGUCGUGAAGUAUUUCAGUUUAAAUUAGCAGCAUAAAAAAAAAUACGUGUUAACUAUUUUAAAGAGGGGACGAUUACUAGAACUGAAGAUAUAUAUAUAUAUAUGUAUAUAUACUUCAAGUUACAGUUUCAAGUAAAAAAGACAAUAAUUUCAAUAUAUGUUUGUUUCGAAACUGGAGUGUAUUUUACAAUAAAGAAAAAAAAUGGACAUAUUUUAAUUGAAAAUGAAGCCUUGCAUAUUUGUACUUUAUAAUUGUUGUGUUGCUUUAUGAAAUAUUCAAGCUUCUUGAAAAUCGGAAUUUCACAAAGCUAUAUAUAUUUAAAAGAAGUUGAAGAUUUAAUCUAAGUCAUAAAACGAAAAUUUUACUUCCCUGCAAAAAUUUCGGAUAUAAUUUAAAAGAUUUGAAUAAACAUAAAAGCUGGACAUAUCACAUUUUUUGUAUAAAACUGAAGGAUUUAAUCAGGCGAAAAAUUUGAAGAGUUACAACAAUAACUAUUCAUCCAUCUCACCAGUCGUGUUGUGAAUUUCAAAGAGUUUGUACGGCAUAGGGAUUUAUAAGUGCCUCUUCUAAUGUUUCGUAAAUAUGAAAACCAAGUGGAUUUCUUCUAACUUUAUUGCUUCAGUGAUGUUUUCCAAACGAACUCCUAUCUGAAUCUUCGAGUUAUAGACAUCUGUUUCUUAAUUUGUAUCCUGAGGCAAAUCAGAGCAUGUUCUAUUUAGAGAAGACUUCUACGUUCGUAAAGUUGCUGCGCCAAUCGAUGUUUCGUAAAGUGUUAUACGAUGGAGAUGUGGUUGCUAUUUCUACCAGAUGAGGGGAGAGAGAGAGAUGACAUUACUCAAUGAGAAAGAAUUACUCUUCAAAAACUAUGAUGAAACUUGGUCCCAUAUAUUAGCACUUUGGAUAUAAUAACUAUUCCACAUCUGACUGAGGAUGCAGUUUGUAUAUUAUUGAAAACGGAUGUUACGACGCCCUAAGAAUUUCGCUAGGUAG